UUUCAUUAAUUAGAAGGGAUUGCUAAUGAGAACCAAGGAUUUCUGAAGACGCCAAUUCCACUCGCUCCUGCUAUCUGAAGACUGAAAGAGAAGCGCGAACUCGGUUUUGAGAGGGAAGGUUUCGGCAGUUCGUGCGGAUGAGACAGGUAGAGAGGUGUGGGUUUCAAAAUGGCACCGGAGUCGGUGAGUACCAGGGACCUGCUUGCUACUAAAAAGUAAUUACAGGUACCAAGCUUGGGUCUCCAAGAGGUGGGUGACAGUAGGAAGCUACACAGGUUCUAAAAAGGCAUUGUUGGGAUUCUUUCUCAGACACAGAAAACUACAAAAGAUUCCUUCUCCUUUUCUGUGCCCUGGGGUGGGGGUAUUUCCAGAAGCCCUUCGCUAAGCAUUUUUAUGAUAGAGGUUUUGCCUCUCUGGGAAUGAGUCAAGGGUUAUGAGGGAGCCUAAACUGUCUCUGCUCCGGCAGCUUGGACUUCUCCAUUUCUUCAUCCACUUCCCUUUUACUGGGGAAGAAGGAGAUGGGGGUAGGCAGGGCAAGGUGACCCCUCUGGUUUCCCAGUUAAUGCUCAGCUUGGGCUUGUGCGGCUGCCUUCCUGCCCUUCGAAUGGGGGCCCUGGACCUGUUUGAGCACGCGUGAGAUGUCACCUCUCGGGUAACACAGCCCCUCCUGCCCCAUGUUCACUUGCAGGGAGCCCACUGCAUUGUUGAAACCCAGAAAAGAUCUUGCAGGGUGCAUUCCUGGCCUCUUCUGCUAGCAGCUGCAGUUACCCCAGACACCAGUUCUGUCGGUUGUUUGAUUCCAUUUCCCCUCCCUCAGCUGUUGUCAGAAUUUCUCGAACUCUCUUUCCUCUUCACAUAAUCGACAAAGGAAUGCCACAGCCCGACUCUUGCUGCCUCCUUUGCCUUAGGAAAGGUUACAGAAGUCAUCUCGCCAGAGGAGAUGGGAGAGUGGCGUCUGGAAACAUCUGGAGUUUCCUCCUUUGGUAACAGGCUAGCAGGCAGCUGUUGUUUGUAGCUGUUGCUGGAGAAAGAGCAGGUGGGUGGUUAGAGAGGGAAGCCACUGGCUGUGGGAACAGAGUUCACAGUAAUGGGCUUGGCUGGCCCACCCGACAGGAACAUCGGAAGGGAAGGGUGCUAAGGAGAAAAUGAAAGGCAAAGAAAAGAAUGGUCUUAAAAGUGGUGGACUCCUCGUGUCAAUCAUCCUUUGCGGACCGCCUCUGUAAACUGGACAAAUGACAGUCACUAGCGGUUAGAGUUGUGGGAAGACCAAGUUCUUGGGACCAAGCUUUACUACGGCAAUCACUUUAUCCUGCUCGCAUUUCAAAUGGGAAGUUGAGAAGAAAAGAAAAUAAUAAACGUUUUAGUGUUUGCCAUUAACAAAAACCUCAGGGGAUUUGCAAUCACUUCUCUUAUAAAGAGACAUUUAUAUAUUUCGUUGUAUAUUUCUACAUAACUAAUACAUGACUAUAUCACUUCUCUAACAAAUUACCAAUAAAAAUGAGAUAUGUUGUUAUUUUAUAGCCAAAUAAAAAUAAGUCCAAUUCUGGAGACGUAACUCAGUUGGCAGAGCACCUGCCAAGCAUGCACCAAGCUGUGGGUCAGUCUCCAGCAUGACAUAAACCAGGCAUGGAAUGACAUGCCUGAAUUCUCAGCAUUUGGGAGGUAGAGGAAAGAAGAUCAGGGAUUGCAGGGCCUCCACAGUGAGUUUGAGGCCAGCCUGGGUUGUAAAGCAGAGUGGUCCUUGAGUCUUAGAAGACGGUAUUUGCUCAAUAAACCAGGCUCGCACUGCUUUGGUUGCGUCCUCGGUACUUGAAUUCAGUUCCCGAACCGAAAACUCCAAUAACGAUGUUUACAUCUCAGACAGUUGAAUCUACUUAGUAUUAACUUCCAGAUGUCAGGGAUAAUUGCUGCUUCAGGGAAGGAAACAUUUAUAAGUAGAUUAGCAUAUGCUGGGCACAAUAACCACUGAGGUGGGAGUUUUCAAUUCCAAUUAAAGUGACGAAGACAUGGUGAGGCAGAAAAAAAGAUUGCUUUCAAAGGCACUGGUCACUUCAGCUGCAGGGUGCAUUCUGCCCUCAGGGCCCUCCAGGGAAAGGCAAGCAAAGAGCCCACCUGGCAACUGCCUUGCCUCUCUCAUCUACCAGGUCAUGGCACCCUGUGAGACAAGUACCAACAAGGUGGCCCCUGUCCAAGGCCAUGCCCCACAGAACCAGGAAGCAGCGUGAGCAGACGCUUUGUUUUCUUUUGCUUUCCAGUGUGGGCCUGGGCCCAAACUGUGUGUAUUUCCAGUGAUGGAGAAACAGCCAUUGGAAGUCUGAGCUCAUGAAAAUGAGUACUGCAAUUCUGAAUUUAUGUAGUUUGGGGCGGAGCGCUAGUCCGAAGGAAAAAGAGGAGGAGCCUUACAACAGGGAUUGCAGCAAGGCUCUCGGUUAUUUGCUUGUUCAAACCCCACUCCUUUUGUCUGGUUCAGGGCCUCCUACCAUCUGUCCCACCUGCCUGCGGCCCACACUCCCCUGGGGUUCCUACAAUUGCCACCUUUCCUUUAAACUCUGCCUUACAGCUAACCCCCGACUCCCUUGUACCCAUGAGAAUAUAAAUCCCCUUGCACAGCCCCGGGUCCCUUGGUAAAAAGAAGAAAAGACAAAGGAGGGAAAGGAUCUUCAAAAUCUCGUCCUAGCUCGAUUUUGUAGCUCCCGGAAGCCUUUUAGAGCAGGACUCAGUUCUCACCCUUCGCAGCGGGUACGGACUUCCUCGUUUUACUACAAAAGAAACCGAGGCUCAUAGAGUUUUAGCAAUUUUCUCUGAAUCAAACAACCAGUUUGAAGUCUAUGUCCUUCCCUUGCGGCCCACUCCUGUCACGGGGUUCACUGAAAGGGAUCUUUCUCCAGCGUUUUCCGCUAUUCUUACCCACAGCAGCUCCACGUUGUGGCUCCAGGAAGAUGGAACAAAGGGCUCCCCCUGCCAGCGUGAGAGAAAUCAGUGGAGGAAAACCGGCAAGCACAGACAGAACCAAGAAGCCCCAGUGUGUGUGCAGCCCUGCCCUCUGUAUUGAUCUGAUUGAGUUUCUGUGCCUGCUUCAUUCUGCAGCUUGAGUUCGCCUCUACAACAUCCCCUCCAAGUGGUUAUUCAGCCUCUAAAUAGCCAGGGGAACCGGCACAGAAGUGCAGAAGCUUUGAGUCUUGUCCAGAGCAAUGAGUCGUUUAGUUUGGCAAGGAACCUGCAUAGGAGGCAAGACAGUGGCAGGAAAUGUUGAGAGGCAGGUAGGGACCAGGCUGAAGAAUAAUAAUAACUGGAAGUAUGGCAGCAGUAAUAAUAAUAAUAUGAUAUAAUUAUAUGAUAAAUAGGUGUCAUAUAAUAAUACAUGCAUACACGAUGUAUAAUUUAUAAAUAUAUACAAAGGUCAUAAUGAUAUAAUAACAAUAAGAGCAGCAGAAAGAGCCAGCAUUUUCUGAGUGUCUACUUUCUCUUGGGAGCUCUCCCUGCAGUAUCCCACAAGACCUCCUUAGAGGCCCAUUAUGUCCCUUACGUUGUAGAUAAAGGCGUUGUAGAGAAAUUAAGUAAUCUACUAGCAAAACCCAGUGAUGUGGUUGAGAUUCAAUGGAGCUAUCUUAGAAAUGGACUCAUUUAUAUGCUACAUUUUUCUAGCAUUCUAAGGUCUUCAGGCUGCCUUUGUAGACUAGCUAGGAAUAAAGCUAUAUCCUAUCUCAAUAAAGCCUUCUACUUAAUAUACUUAAGGCUUUGGUAGAGGGCUCAGUGGUAGCUCAUCAUUAGGGCGUAUGCGUAGCAUGUACAAAACUCUGGGUUUAGUCCUCAGCACCCCAAAACAAAAACAAAAAUAGCACACUUUAAAAUAUAAGAACUUGGGCUGGAGAGAUGGCUCAGCAGUUAAGAGCACCGGUUGUUCUUCCAGAAAACCAGAUUUAAGUCUCAUCAGCCUCAUGUUGAUUCGGAACUAUCUGUAACUCCAGUCCCAGGGGAUCUGACACCCCCUUCUAGAUUCUGGCUUCUGUGGGUACCAGACUCUGAUACCCCCUUCUAGAUUCUGGCUUCUGUGGGUACCAGACAUAUAUAUGGUGCCCAGACAUACUUGAAAUUUAAAUAAUUAAAUGGUAGCUACUCUGUGAGCUGACAGUGGUGUCAUAAGCCAGUGAUUCCAGCCAUUGGGAAUGGAGAGAAGAAGAUCGUACAUUCAAGGCAGUGCUCAGCUAUGGGUGUCAAAACUUUGCUUUGCCUUUUAGUUGUUGUUGUUGUUUUUCUCAUGGUGCUGUGGUUCAAACCCAGGGCCUGACACAUGCUAGGUAAGCACUCUACCACUAAACUUCACCCUCAGCCCUGGCAAACCUUUACUGUGAAAUAUAUUCCCCAAGGCUCAUGCAUUCAGCAGUGUGCUUUCCUUGCAAGUAUGAGGACCUGAGUUCAAUUCCCAGAGCCCAUCUGAAACACCAGGUAUGGUGGUACUUACAUGUAAUCUCCGAACUGGGGAGGUGGAGACAGGCAGAUCACGGGGGAGCACUGGCUAGCCAGGAUAUAUUACUUCACGAGUUCCAGGCCAGUAAGAGACCCUGCUCAAAAAAAAAUCAAUAAAAACAUCAAUCAAACACAAAUAACGAGGUAGGCAGUGCAGUCAAAAGUUAUCCUUUGCACACCCACAGAUGCAUGGACCUGCAUACACAUAAACACACACACACACAAGAAAUAUAAUUCCUUUAUUACUAGCAGAAGGUGGUUAAUGGCUUUACGCUGAAGAAACCAAGUGCAGGCCUUAGACAGUUGCUUCAGAUUUGAAGGGAAUGCUGACAAAGGAAGGCAUUAGCUUCAGGGCUGGGUUUCCGGGUCUGUGGCCUAUGUGUUAGACUGGGCUCUGCACUUGUCAUGACCUCAUGCAUAGUGCUAUACUGCCUCCAUCUUGACAUUCUUCAUCAUCUUCCAUAGAGGUUGCACAUGUUCCUUCUUCACAGAGUCUCCUACAUUUUGAAGCCAAUCCUACUCUUUCAGAUUACAGAUUCCUAUGUGUCUCUAGUGCCGCUGCCUUGCUCUGUAUCUAGGAUGGGCCCACGUGCUCCUUUGACCCCCCCUUUUUUGCCUCUAGUGACCUGGCCACAGCCUCCAGUGUUGCCCAGCUGCAGAAACAUCCUGUUCUUGCUGGUGCCAUUCAACAAGUAGUGGUGAUUUGCAAAAGGAUGACUUAGGAAAGGCAAAGAAAACACAUUUGAAAGCACAAGAGGAAAAAAAUGGGCUUCUUAAACACAGUGAAGACUAACACACACUGAAUUGGUCGCCACAGCUUUAGAGGUUACAGGUGUUGGUGUCCUUACUCACGUCCAGUCUACUUGGGAGGAGUGUGGGACUGAAGCUCUUUAGAGCUGGUGGCACCAGUGCCACCACUGGGGGAUUCUUCAUCCUUUUCACCUUUUGAUUUUCUUGUCCUAUUGAAGAGCAGCUUUGCUCGCUUAGGGCUGAACCACACUUGUGCAUCACAUACAACACAUGUGUAGGCACAUGUACAAACACACACACACAAACAUACAUGAAUGCACUCUCUGUCUCUAUCUCUCUCUGUCUCUAUCUCUCUCUCUGUCUCUCUCUGUCUCUCUGUCUCUGUCUCUGUCUCUCUGUCUCUCUCUCUCUCACACACACACACACAGACACACACACACACACACACACACACACACACACACAGCCCACUCUGGAAAAUCCUGGUCUUUUGAUGUCUGUGAGAAAGGAGCUUCUCUAUGUGACUUCCAGGGGUUCUUCUGGGAGGUUCUUGGGCUGCCUCACCAGGCUUUGCAAUUCAGUUCGUCAGCUUCCAAAGGUUUCUGGGACACCGCACCUUUCACCCAUUCUCUGAUAUUGAUUGUUACAGGCUCAGCCUUUCCCCUCUAGUCAAACCUUCAGUCUAGCGUCAUUACCCUUGAGGCUAGUGGCAUAAGGCAGUCAUUACUUGUCCCCAGGGUUUGUAAAAUGCACACAUAAAGCUCCCUUCCUUUCUGCUGUGUUAUACUUUUCCUGUCUAAGGGUGACCUGCAAUUCUCAGCUUCCCUGUGCAUGGACAUUGACUAAUGAGAGAGGAAACCUUUCCUAGCAUCUGGAUCCCCAUCUCUGAUUCUUUCUGAUAUGGGCUCUUCCUUCCCAUGGGAGGUAAUGAUACCUUACAGUAAGUAAUUCAUGGUGGCAUUUGACUUUGUAUCUCAAGUAGAAAGUAUAAACCUGAAUCUUACCCACUGUCAGGGAAACCACCAGGAAAAUACCACUUGAGUGUCUCUACCGUAAUGUACAAAUUACAGCCUGGUCUAUAUAAUCUGUGAAAUCAACAGAAAUAAUAAUCCCCAGAUUUCACCCUAAUAGGUUCAACUAAAGGUUUAAGAUGAAACUUCGUCUUCAAAUGGUAAACACUCAAUUGCCAUAUGAUGCCAGGAAUGCUGGCAUAUACCUAUGAUCCCAGCACUCAGAAGGUAAGGAUACAAGUGUGAAGGCAUGCUUAAUUACAUACUGAUUUCAAAGGGCCAGUGUGAGUUAUAUAGUGAAACUCUGUCUCAAUAAAUGAAGAGCUGGUGAUAUAGCUCUUUGUAGUAGCAAGGCCCUGGGUUCCAUUUUCAUUGUCACAAAAAAAAGGAUUCAGUAUUAAACCACGCUACAGCGUAGAAGAACCUUGAAGAUACUGUACAAUGUGAAAAAAAGUUAACGACAAAGACCCCAUAUUGUAUGGUUCUAUUUAAAUUAAACGCUCGGAGUAGAUAAGGCCAGAGACAAUAUGUGUGACAGUGGUUGCCAGGAGCUAAGGGUUGAGAAGGAUGGGGAAUGACCUUGUAGUAGAUACAGGGCUCACGUUGGGAGCAAUAAAAAUGGUUUAGAACUAGGCAGAGGUGGUGAUUAUCCAGCAUUGAAAGUCUACUUCGCAACAGCUGUGUACUUCAAAAUGGUUUCCUGUUACAUAAUGCCACAUACAAAAAUGCUAUGCACAAAAACUUUACAUACAAUUUUCCAAAGUAACAAAAAGAGUACCAAAAAGCUGGCAACCCAGAAAGGACCUUCAGGAUAAAGGUUUCUUUGGCCGCCACUUCCACACAGAGAAACGACCAUUGGGCAUGGAGCUGGUAAAGAUCAUUAUGCCGCUCCCACUGGGCACUGGAUGGAAAUCAGUUGCAUGGAAGAGAUUUGGACUGUGUAGCGAGGGGAAAUUGAAGAAAACACACUGGAUUCUCGCUCUCGUGCACAAAAAGGCAGAAACUGCCAGGAAAAUGAGAGCUAGCCCAUGGAAAUGGCUAGGAAGCACUUUGUGUCCAGAGAGAAGUGAUGCUUGUAAAUCAUUAUUACAUUUAGUCUGUGUGUGUGCACCCAAGCACACCAGUGCAUCUGUGGAGAUUCAGUUAUCUCCUUCCGUCACUUGGGUCUCAGGCUUGUCGGCCAUCUUGCUCCUCUGUCGCUUGGUUUCUUUCACCUUCAAUGUCUGCAUUUUUUUUUAAGUCUGGCUUCUGUUGGUUUGUUAUUUGUUUGCAACAUAAACCAUGAUUGCUAAAAAAAAAUAACAUUGAUCACUUGAUGAAGGUGUUUGUUAUAUGCCAAAUCCCUCACCAGAAAGCUAAAUGAUAAAUAAUUUGAGAUAUGCCUUUUUAAUUUUAUUUUUGUAAAGAUUUAUCUAUUUUUAUAUUAUGAAUUUGGGUGUUUUGCCUAUUUUAUGUAUUGUAUCCAGUGGGUGCCUGGUGCCUGAAGAGGUCCAAACAGGGCAUCAGAUCCCCUGGAACUGGAGUUAGAGAUGAUAGUGGGCCACCAUGUAUUUGCUGGAAACUGACUCUGGCCCCCUGCAAGAGCAACAAAUGGAUCAUUUUAACCCAUGAUUCAUCUCUCUAGCCCCAAGAUGUGCACUUUUAAUGUCUCUAUUUCCCAUAUGAUGCUUUUUACUUCCAGCAGGAUUCGUUAUAACCUUCACAAUGGUGAUGCAUUCUCCCCCAAUCCCAGCAAGAUGGUUUGUGGGAGUGAAGGCACCUCCAUGAUAGCACCUUAUGAGGGGACUCAGCUACAAUCGGACAGCACACCAGUAUUCCCGGCGAGGGAAAAUCUUCAAAGACUUUUUAUUUCCAGAAGAAUGUGACUGUCAUUGCCAUGUGAAAGACAUAACCUGUAAGUCAUGGAUGAUACCCCAGACAGGUUCCAUCUUCUCCCAGACAAAGAUACAAGGCAGCAGUAUGUAUGAUUAUGUUCCUUCCUCCCCAUCCACUAUAUCCAGAGCAGAGGCCGAAGCCAUUUUCACUGGCUCCAGUGUGUGCCCAUGUGUCCUCUUCCCCAUCUCUACUCCACCAGCUUCCUUCAUCCACCCCUGGGAAGUUCUCCUAGGGGCCCUUGCUAUGACCAGCUGUGAUCCACACUGCCCCCUAGGGCUACCUCCCUGACUUGUGUCUUGGCCACCCCUUGCUUCGGAACUUAGCAGUACUUCUUGCCCCAAAAAGCAGGACAAAGAAGGACUUCUGGGGCCACUGGUUGCAGCCAGUACUAUGUGAUAGCACUUCCACUUCCUCUAAGUUAGCAGCACUUUAGCCAGGAGGGGUUAGCGUUCCUUCCUCCUAAUUCCUCCACAGGUCUCCAUUUCCACAGUGCUCUCUAGUCUAGCGCUGCCUUACCCUACUUUCAACUUCCCCAACGUUUACCAAGCAGCCAAAGGGUAUUCCUGUAAAAGUCUGGAGCCAAACUGCUAAAAUACAUAUGCUCAUUCUGCCCAGGAGUGGCUUCCUAAGUGUGUCACUUACAUAGUGGCUCAGCACCCAAGCUUAGGAGGGCUCUGGGCUUGGUAAAAUAUUAAACUGCCACUAUUCUGAUAUUCUUUUUUUUAAAAAAAAAAUGAUAGUAUGUAUUAGUUGUACUAUUUUCAGGAAAUCCAAGGUAUAUAAAUAUUCAUAAACUAAAUCCAUACCCUAUACUAUAUAUAUAAAAAAUAAAUUCAAGCAGUGAACAUCAAGGAAGAGGCAGCAGACAGACUGUACAAAGAUGCGGAGGGGCGCUGUGACACACGGUCCUCUGGACUUGACGACCAGUGCGGUCAUAAACCUGCACAGCUGUGGUUAGCUGCACGGUCCUGCCACAGGGGGGGCAGACCAUCUCCAGGCUCCACUUCGUACGGAGAAACUAUUGACAGUAGAUAGUUGCUAGGGGAUGAAGACUCAUUCCUUUUUAGGAUGUGGCUACAAGCAGAUUUCCAGUGCUCUAGCGGAGUCCCCGCACUCAUACAGAUGGGCAGCACCAACUGCACUUGGGUCUUGAUUUAUAAUUCGGGCAGGCUUCGGGCCUCCAGUUGGUGGAAUUUAUAGGUAGGAGCCACCACCUGGCUCCAGGAAGCAGCCGCUCUGUGAGUUGAUCGUGUCCCACAGCUGUCACAUGACAGAAACGGCGACGUGAUUCACUUUCACUUCCCAUGAGAAUGUGAACUUUCCCAGUGGCCCUGCCCCUUCUUAGCACGUGGGCACAUCUGCUGGCCAUGGAUUAUGUGGCAGGACUCAAAAAGCCUGCUCCCACAUCUAUUGUUCCUUUCCCAAACGUCUUAGUAGUAAGCCGAGCCCAAGGCUUCUCGCACUUGAUAAACGAGAAGAGUAAGCAAGCAACUGGUCUAAGGGCCCGAAUCCACUUAGGAGCUUGACUGAAACCAAGAUGCCUGCAGCAGUCUGUGCUUCCUGGGACUCAUCCAUCACCUGUUUCCUUACCAAAGAAAAUGCUAACAGGCACAGCUGGUCUCUGAGGGGAGGGCUGCUUUUGUCACCCAGCUGUGGUUUCCGCUUCAGAUCCCAGGAUGCCUUGCUGUAGGGCUGGGUAGCCCCUACGCUACCAAAAAAGAAAAAAGAAAAAAAAAGAAAAAAAAGCUGCUUUACAUUGCUCUGCGGCGUUUAGGGGUUGGCACCCCAUUCCUGGUGGCGAGGCAUUGCCUUGCUGUUGCUAAGGGCAGCUUUCAAUCACCCCUUCAUUUAUUCCCACAGGCAUACAUUCCAAAUCUAGUAAUUUUGCUGUGAUCUCGAGAAGAAGGAAGUACGGGGGUGGAGAGAGAUGAAAAAAAAAAAGUGACAGAGGUAUUCAUUUUAUCCUUAGGGAUUAGGGGAAAGGCGGAAAGCUUUUCAGAGAGUCACAAUCAUAGGGGAAGUGCUAAGAGCCAGGUGUGGGAGCCAAGGAAGAGAGCCAAAGCCUGGAUAGGGCAAGAAAGAGACUGGCCCUCCAGGAGAGGGCAAGGGAAACUGGCAAGCGCUACCAAACAGGGCUUCUCCUCACCCCACUAUUUCUCCGCAGGUUUAGCCCUCCAUUAGGAAAAACCAUCCGGGAACGUUUUAUUUUCCUUGAUAGAUAGCAGAGGGGAGCAAAGAAGCUCACCCCGCUUUUGAGCGGGUGGCCACCCUGGUGUGGUCAGCUCGGUGUACCCUCAACUAGCUUUGGGCUUUCUACCACACCCGCACAACCAUUCCCUCCUCUUGGAACGCUGACCACCUACCUCUGAAGGCUCUAGCUAGUUUAACUACCUAGGGAAACCCUGGGACGCAGCAGCGAAUUCAGCUGCAGCCACUAGACUAUCGAGGUGGAGGGGAAAUGGCACUAUCAGUGCGGCCAGGGGAAAUGGCACAUCACCAGGCUCGCCUGGGGCACUGCUGACCGGUCCGAAAGCAAGUGUGAAGCACCAGCUGCGCGUGGAAACCAUGAAUUCUUCCCCCUCAGCUGUGGAGGUUUAAAGGGAUUAGGUGUGAACAAUGGCCAGGUCCUGCAAAAGUUAAAAAAAAAAAAAAGCCACAGGACUUCCUCUUAAAGACCUGCAGGUCUUUGAAGACAAUCAGACACAAAUGCUCUUUCAGAAAGGGACAAAGCAAAUAUCAAGCUGACCUUUUGCGAACAAUGUAAAUCGUGACAGUUUGGGGCAGCGGUGGAGGUGGGGUGGACACAAAAAGACUUUGCUUGCUACUGUGUGGCAAUCAGGCUUCUAUUCUUCUCGCCCUUGCCUAAGGCUGCCUUGUUAAGGUUUGCCGUUUAUUUUAAACGUGCCCAAGGUGGAAGGAAUCUAAAAUGGUUAGUGGGUGAGGGGAUUAAAUGAACCCAGGAGUCAAGACAGAAUGCCUGGAACCUCUCGGGUUUCUCAGAACCAGCUCAGGACCUGCCCGCCAGGACCUGGGGGGCAGAACCGGUAUCAAGAGAGUGGCUUAAAACUACUCCGGGAUUGAGUCCCAAGAAGCCAAGGUGAGAUCCAUUACUGGCCAGUGAAUUUUUGCCUAACCCUUGCUUUGCACUUGCAGUUCUUAGUAGGCCUUCUGGGUGUGCUGGGACAAAGCUAUGUGUGUACUGUGUUCGGUUACCGUGGAGGCCCUGGCCUCCCAGAGAGGCCCCGGGGUCCAGGUGGGUGUUGCAGAGAACAAAGGUUCCCCACACCUAGAAAACCAGUUCUCCCAGCCUUCCAGCCACAGCAAGUGACAUCACCAGGAGCCAAUCGAAAAUUCGCACUUGAGUUUACUUGUUAAGGCCUGAAUUGAUUCCACGUAGACUGCACAGCUGACCGUGUAGAGCCACCUUCCCAACCAGCGCUCUGUUUAGGAGCGAGCUGAUUCACGGGGAAUUUGGCUUUCACGCAGAUUUCUUAGGCAGGUGAGGGGCCAGGUUUCAGAUUCCACACUGAAGAUACCACACCCUGAGCUCCUGGCUAGCCCAAAGCCGGAGCGCCAGACGGACCUGUACUGCCAUCUUCUGGUAGUGCUUGGUAUUGAUUAGUGAGAGUGGCAAGAUCUCUCUGGGAAAUAAAGCCUGAAUACCCUAGGUUGUUGCUCCAUUUUACCAGUCUCCGUAGACAAAAAGACCCCUUCCAAUAUAUCAAAUAAGGUAACCAUGAAAGGAAGACACUCUGAUCUGAUGGUAGUGUACCUUGAUUUUCGUCUAUAUUUAUCUGAAUCUGUUUGUUUGGAGACACUAGUCUCCUGUAGCUCAGGUUGGCUUCUACCUCACUCUGAAGGUGACCUUGAGCUUCCCACCCUCCUGCUUCCACCUCCCAAGUGCUAGGGUGACUGGCCAGUACCAGCACAUCUAGUCUACGUGAUGCUGGGGAUAGAACGUUUGUGCAUAGCCUUUGUGCAUUCUAGGAAGGCCUUUACCGACUGACCCCAGCCCCCCCUUCAGUUUUGUAAAGCCCUAUCUAUCGUCCAUGGGAAGAGGCAGGUAUGUGAUGAACUUGAGGAUGCCCUUGACGGAGUCCUGAGUCUGAGAGGUUUCUUGUCCCAUACUUUUCACUGUAGAUGUGGUCUUUACAAAGGCCUUCGUGAUGUUUUGGAGAGUUUUCAGUUUAUGUAUGGUAACCUGUGAGUACAAACGGGCUUUGCAGACUGGAUGUAAAAACAGCAGCCCCUUAGGUCGAUCCAGACUAGUAGACAUUGCAUCUGCAGAAGCAUCCGCAUGUCAUGCCCAAUGACUUCUCCUUCUCUCUCCUAGUCAAUGUAGCCACGUCAGUGGAAAGAGACCAUGCAUAGCCCUCUCUUGUAGUUUCAAAACAUGUUUUAAGGCAAAAGGAGGCAACUCUCGUAACAUAUAGCCAUCAGAUACAGACUUCCAUGCUAAGGAGUUAGUAUAUGUUUUUCUUUUAUAUAUUGCACACAAGGGAGGGCCUUACUGGCCAUGCAGCAGCAAGGUUGAAAUGCUGUGGAACACCUUAAAAUGCAUAGGACCGUUCUCUCCAAUCUUCAAGAAAGAAGAAUGCCAUCCAAGAGGUCAACAGUGCCAUGGUAACAGAGUUACCCUAAAAUAGCUCACCAACACCUCAAAGCCAACAUGUCAAUGCUUAUGACUCUGGACUUGUCGACUUCUACAACUGACGAUGUCCUCUGGUUCCCACACUCAUAGUCACACAUUCGUGAACAUUCAAGUGCACACACAACCAAAACAUUUGUGUAGAAAUAGACUAUUGCUACCCCAUGCUCUUAUUUUGUUCUUUACAUUUAUUAUUACUAUUGUUAUUUAGUUUUAUGCAUAUAGGUUUUGCCUGCAUGUAUGUCUGUGGACACCUUAUGUGCCUGGUGCCCACAGAGCCCAGAAAAGGGCAUCAGAUCCACUGGAACUGAAAUUACAUAUAUCUGAAAGUUGCCAUAUGCAUACUGGUAAUUGAACCCUUGGCCUCUUCAAGAGCAGCAAGUACUCUUUUUUUUUUUUUGUUUUUUUUUGUUUUUUUUUUUUUUUUGUUUUUCGAGACAGUUUGGAGCCUGUCCUGGAACUAGCUCUUUUAGACCAGGCUGGUCUCGAACUCACAGAGAUCCGCCUACCUCUGCCUCCCGAGUGCUGGGAUUAAAGGCAUACGCCACCACCGCCCGGCUAGCAAGUACUCUUAACCACUGAGCUAUCUCUCCAGCUUCUUGUAUUUAAUUCUUUAAAAUAUUAUUCCUUCUGUUUAUACUUACCAGGCAGUUAACGAUGGCCAUCUUCAUCUGCAGGUAGACACUUAUCCAUAUGAAUAUUUGCUACAUUCAUAUACAUGUUUCACGUUAUUUUUCUAAUAUAAAUAACAUCUCCAGAACAUCCAACUUUAGUUGGAUCCGAUUUACUGUUUCAAAGGGGGAAAUUCUUUCAAGAUCAGAAACAAAUUGCUUCAGCUAUUCCCACAGAAUUCAACGACUUUGAAAGUACAGUAUUCCCUAGUAAGUCACCUGAUACCUUCUUCAGUUCCAGCAAAGGUUAGUCUAGUCCAUGGCAGGGAGUAUUAGGAUUUUCUUUCAGUCUGUGUUAAGUGUUGGAUUUAUCCAAUCUAUGACUAAUGGCGUUAAUGUUAUUUGAUAUGAAUGCUAGCCUCUUCACCCUGUACCAAAGAAGAAUCUAUCAUGGUUACUCUUUUAUUAUUCUUGAUUUCUGAAGUAUGGUCCACAUUACUGUCACCUGCCUCUUUGGAAUAAU